CCAUCUCUGACUGUGCCACUGCCUCACGCAGUCUGGCAGAACAGAGAUAAUGAUGUCACAUGAUGCGUCAGUCAACAGGAAACAAACUGGAUCAUCAGUCUAUGCUAGCCACCCAAACUUCCCAUUAACAACAUGGAAGAGGCGAGUGUGUCCUGGCCUUACUUGCUGAUUUGAGCUGUGAGCUGCUGGACCUCAACGAGGAGCUGGGACUGUGCUGGAUCGUGGCACUGCUCUUUGGCAGGUCUGUGGCGACGCACAUCCAGUCGGGCCUGUGCCAAACUCAGACAGUGCUCGUUCUCUGUGGUAGCCACUUGGAGAUCCUCUCUGAUUCUCUGUUGGCCAGCUAUCUCAGAUGUAAUCUAAAGAAGACAGAGGUGUCACAUCAGGCAUAAAAUCAUCUGCUCUACCGUGGUCAGCUGAUCCUCCAUCUGGCUCUUGGCAGACUUGAUCUCCUGGACAUUAUGCUGAAAGGCUUCUGUUGUGGCCUGGAGCUGCUUCUGCAUGUCAGCAGCCGUCUGCUCG